CGUCCCGGUGCCGCUCGGCGGCCGGCAGGGGGCGCGCCCUGCCCUCGGAGGGAGCGGGGCUGCCCCGGCGGGAGGAGGCGGCGCAGGGAAGGGCGGGCGCGGCCGGGGCGGCGGGGCCGCGGCUCCGCUCGGGACACAGCGCCGGGCCGGGCCGGCGGGCAGGGCGGCGGGCGGGCAGGGCAGCCCGGCUCAGCCGCCGGAGCCGCCGGGCCGGGCUGCGGCGGGAGCUGCCCGGCGCAGGGGUGGGGACUGGCCGCUUCCUUAAACGGCGCGGGAGCGGCGGGGCGAGCCCGCACCGCCCCGGUGCGCGGGGCCGCGCCGACCCUCCCGGGACGCGGCCGCAACACGUGGAGCGAACUUUUGAGGGACGCGUGUCCGCGCCGGACGGGAGCCCCGCCGCCCGGGACCGCAACGCUGCGCGGAGCAGCUCGUCUCUCUCCGGAGCAUUUCAAGUGCUUUUCCUAAAGCUGAAUUCUCUAUAAAGGAGAAGUGACUAGAAACCCUGAACUGAGUCCCAGGUCUCGCUUAACUUUGUAAGGCACAGUGACACACUGAGGCUGCUCCACUUAAGGUAUGGUAUGAACCAGGAGCUGUGGAAUGAGUGUUCACAUGGAUCAUCCUGCCUGUGGAAUGAGUGUUCCCAUGGAUCAUCCUGCUGCAGCUAUUCCCGAGCCAGCAGCUGCUGUGUAAGCAGAGCCUAAAAGACAAUCCUUGCCCCAGUGACUGUGUGGCAGAUAAGACAGACAAUGGGCACCAGGAAGGCCCCUGGCUAUCAGGGAAAGAUGGAUACUGUUCAACCAGCUGGGAACAAAGAAACCUGGGCUGCUCCAGGCCCCGCAGGACUGUCCCAGAGUGUCCUUCCCUGCCUGCUGGUUCCAGGAACGUGACACUUUGGCAACUGUUUGUGUCAGGACUCCCUGCUUUGACACCUUUGGUUUCUGAGACUGCCUCAUUUCAGGAAACCCCAGGGCUCCUCUCCACAAGGAUUUCCCCAUCCAGCAGCUCUCAUGUCUUCACUGGAUAGUGAAAUGAGAUGGAAGGGCUUGAAUGUUUCCUUGGCAAGAUGGGUGGAUGGAAUUAGUUUAAUCUGUUCUGAUUCUGGUUCUACCAAGUCAACUGGACCCAAUCACCUCCUCUGCUAACAGGCUGCAGAGCAACAGUCUACUGGAAUAUUCUUUGUGCUGAAAACAGGAAGAUAUGGAAUGAGGGUUUGUAACUUUUUUGGAUGACUUUCUAUGUUGCAAUUUUUACCUUUAAUAUCACCACUUUAAAUAAGAAUAUUUAUUUGUUGAAAUAAACACAUUUUUUGCCCUGAAA